GGUUUCCGUAGGUGAACCUGCGGAAGGAUCAUUACCGAGUGCGGGAACCCAGUCGGGUCCCAAUCUCCCACCCGUGUCUACCACACCUAGUGUUGCUUUGGCGGGCCCACUCCUCCGGUGUUCCGCCGGGGGGGUCGUCCCGGGGCGCGGUGUGCCCCCGGGGCCCGUGCCCGCCAGAGGCACUCACUGUGAACGCUUUUGUGAAUGCGAGGAUUGUCUGAGUGACGAAAUGCAAUCGUUCAAAACUUUCAACAAUGGAUCUCUUGGUUCCGGCAUCGAUGAAGAACGCAGCGAAAUGCGAUAAGUAAUGUGAAUUGCAGAAUUCCGUGAAUCAUCGAAUCUUUGAACGCACAUUGCGCCCUCUGGUAUUCCGGGGGGCAUGCCUGUCCGAGCGUCAUUGCGAACCCUCAAGCACGGCUUGUGUGUUGGGCCGCCGUCCCCUCGUUUGGAGGGGACGGGCCUGAAAGGCAGCGGCGGCGUCGCGUCCGGUCCUCGAGCGUAUGGGGCUCUGUCACGCGCUCAAGGAGGGGUCCGGCCGGGGCCAUAGCCUCUGAAGGUCAAUUCUUCCAAGGUUGACCUCGGAUCAGGUAGGAGUACCCGCUGAACUUAAGCAUAUCAAUAAGCGGGAGGAA
rnacentral:rRNA from 1 species